rnacentral:ncRNA from 1 species
AAUAAAUCGUUGAAGAGACGAGUAGAAUGAAGUACGGAUUAACAGAGAGAAAAUCAUAGUUGAGAGAUUUUUAUUCCUAUUCAUUUGAAGACUACCUCUGAGAGAUUCUAAUACAAUCCGUUGACUACGUUAUCGUCGAAUGAAGUGAUAGGAAACUAUUAUUAGGGUGGAACCGCGGGUUGACUCGUCCCUUGC